rnacentral:rRNA from 1 species
ACAGGAUUCCCCUAGUAACUGCGAGUGAAGCGGGAAGAGCUCAAAUUUAAAAUCUGGCGGCUUUGCCGUCCGAGUUGUAAUCUGGAGAAGCGUUUUCCGCGUCGGACCGUGUACAAGUUUCUUGGAACAGAACGUCAUAGAGGGUGAGAAUCCCGUCCAUGACACGGACCGCCGAUGCUCUGUGAUACGCUCUCGAAGAGUCGAGUUGUUUGGGAAUGCAGCUCAAAAUGGGUGGUAAAUUCCAUCUAAAGCUAAAUAUUGGCGAGAGACCGAUAGCGAACAAGUACCGUGAGGGAAAGAUGAAAAGCACUUUGGAAAGAGAGUUAACAGUACGUGAAAUUGUUGAAAGGGAAACGCUUGAAGUCAGUCGCGUUUGCCGGGACUCAGCCUUGCUCUUCUGCUUGGUGUACUUCCCGGUCGACGGGUCAACAUCGAUUUCGACCGGUGGAUAAAGGAGAAGGGAAUGUGGCACCUUCGGGUGUGUUAUAGCCCUCCUUCGCAUACGCUGGUCGGGAUCGAGGAUCGCAGCACGCCUUUACUGGCCGGGGGGCUCGCCCUCACGCAACGUGCUUAGGAU